rnacentral:lncRNA from 1 species
CUGCGGUCCCCGCCUGCCAACUCGCUCGCCGGCGCGCCCGCGAUGUGACUGAUCCUCUGGGGGCAGGCUGGCAGCUCUGAGGACAGCAGUACCUUGGCUUUUUCUAGUACGGGGUUUCUUGUUGAGCUGUGCUUCCCUCCGAGGCGGAGACACGCACCAGGGGCUCGGAGCGCAGCUUUCCGGGGCCGACGGCAGCUGCAGCGCUAGGGUUCGCGCGGCCGGGUGCAGUUUUAGUCGUCGCCGCCGCCCGGUGGUGCGCCCUGGCGAGUGCCAAGGCGCCGGGCAUCGCUGAGCCGAGGCGGCUGGUGCAGAGCAGCAGCGCUUGGUCCUGCAGCCGCAGCUGCCUCUGGCCACUGCAGGAGCUGAGGGGCUGCGCGCAGCCAGAGUUUGCAGGGGUUGCCUUGAAGCCAGUUCCCAAGAACACUCCUGGACUCUUGCAUCCCGAAUGCAAGAAGUCCUUCUCUUAUUUCGACAGUUGCACACAACUUUGGAGCUGGGAAAGGGUGAUUUCAAGUCCAAGAAAGAAGAGAGAGUCUCGCCAUAACAAGGCUUCAAAAGGAGGUGUUGCCAGAAUUUGGAAUACUCUUUUGGACAAACAUUGCUCCAAGUUUCUUUGCAGGAAGACACCACGGCCCUCUGCCCCCGAUGUGGCCACCUUUGAAGAAUUGACUCAUUCCAUCAGCUG